AGACCCGAAACCCGGUGAUCUAGCCAUGGGCAGGUUGAAGGUUGGGUAACACUAACUGGAGGACCGAACCGACUAAUGUUGAAAAAUUAGCGGAUGACCUGUGGCUGGGGGUGAAAGGCCAAUCAAACCGGGAGAUAGCUGGUUCUCCCCGAAAGCUAUUUAGGUAGCGCCUCGUGAAUUCAUCUCCGGGGGUAGAGCACUGUUUCGGCUAGGGGGCCAUCCCGGCUUACCAACCCGAUGCAAACUGCGAAUACCGGAGAAUGUUAUCACGGGAGACACACGGCGGGUGCUAACGUCCGUCGUGAAGAGGGAAACAACCCAGACCGCCAGCUAAGGUCCCAAAGUCAUGGUUAAGUGGGAAACGAUGUGGGAAGGCCCAGACAGCCAGGAUGUUGGCUUAGAAGCAGCCAUCAUUUAAAGAAAGCGUAAUAGCUCACUGGUCGAGUCGGCCUGCGCGGAAGAUGUAACGGGGCUAAACCAUGCACCGAAGCUGCGGCAGCGAACGUAUCACCCAAGACAACUUUACGGAGUUGACGAUUGACGGAGCGAAGCGACGUCAAAGCGUUCAUUAAAGUCGAGUUGGCUUAGGGAUACGUUCGUUGGGUAGGGGAGCGUUCUGUAAGCCUGUGAAGGUGUGUCGUGAGGCAUGCUGGAGGUAUCAGA
rnacentral:rRNA from 3 species